rnacentral:lncRNA from 1 species
GUACUAAGAAUUAUUUUUUCCUAAAUGUGGGUUCCUUAGCUUAUUGUGAUGUUAGCCUGUCAGGUGGCACAUGCUGAUGUGGGAAAACAGAUUGGCAAGUGAAAUUUAAAACAGUGGGCGAGAACAAAGGAAACCCCCCCCCCUCCCAGUUCUUUGUUCUUCCUUCUUUAUCCAUCUAAAUGCCACCCAAGAAAGUCUGGAUGAUCUCUUAAUUAACUCGGAAUGGGUACCUUUUUAAAUGGGUACCUUUAAAAUUUUCUGGAAGCUUCCUCAAAUUUAUGUCAAUUGUCAACCAGAAUUCUAGCCACUGGCUUUCAAGUAAUUAGUAAAUGG